UACGUAGGGUGCGAGCGUUAAUCGGAAUUACUGGGCGUAAAGCGUGCGCAGGCGGUUUUGUAAGCCAGAUGUGAAAUCCCCGGGCUUAACCUGGGAAUGGCAUUUGGGACUGCAAGGCUUGAGUGCGGGCAGAGGAGACUAGAAUUCCUGGUGUAGCAGUGAAAUGCGUAGAUAUCAGGAGGAAUACCGAUGGCGAAGGCAGGUCUCUGGGCUGAGCACUGACUCAUGCACGAAAGCGUGGGGAGCAAACAGG
rnacentral:rRNA from 1 species